rnacentral:rRNA from 1 species
GGUUGACCUCGGAUCAGGUAGGGAUACCCGCUGAACUUAAGCAUAUCAAUAAGCGGAGGAAAAGAAACCAACAGGGAUUGCCCCAGUAACGGCGAGUGAAGCGGCAAGAGCUCAAA